UAAACAUAUUACCGAAACUGUGGAUGAACCUCUUUAGAGGUUCGUGGUAGGAGAGCGUUCUAAGGGCGGUGAAGUCAGACCGGAAGGACUGGUGGAGCGCUUAGAAGUGAGAAUGCCGGUAUGAGUAGCGAAAGAAGGGUGAGAAUCCCUUCCACCGAAUAUCUAAGGUUUCCUGAGGAAGGCUCGUCCGCUCAGGGUUAGUCGGGACCUAAGCCGAGGCCGAUAGGCGUAGGCGAUGGACAACAGGUAGAGAUUCCUGUACCAGUGCUAAUUGUUUAACCGAUGGGGUGACACAGAAGGAUAGGGAAUCGCACGAAUGGAAAUGUGCGUCCAAGCAGUGAGUGUGAGAAGUAGGCAAAUCCGCUUCUCGCGAAGCAUGAGCUGUGAUGGGGAAGGAAAUUAAGUACGGAAGUUCCUGAUUUCACGCUGUCAAGAAAAGCCUCUAGGAAGAGUAGUACUGCCCGUACCGCAAACCGACACAGGUAGAUGAGGAGAGAAUCCUAAGGUGAGCGAGAGAACUCUCGUUAAGGAACUCGGCAAAAUGACCCCGUAACUUCGGGAGAAGGGGUGCUCUAUUAGGGUGCAAGCCCGAGAGAGCCGCAGUGAAUAGGCCCAGGCGACUGUUUAGCAAAAACACAGGUCUCUGCAAAACCGUAAGGUGACGUAUAGGGGCUGACGCCUGCCCGGUGCUGGAAGGUUAAGAGGAGUGCUUAGCUUCGGCGAAGGUACGAAUUGAAGCCCCAGUAAACGGCGGCCGUAACUAUAACGGUCCUAAGGUAGCGAAAUUCCUUGUCGGGUAAGUUCCGACCCGCACGAAAGGCGCAACGAUCUGGGCACUGUCUCAACGAGAGACUCGGUGAAAUUAUAGUACCUGUGAAGAUGCAGGUUACCCGCGACAGGACGGAAAGACCCCGUGGAGCUUUACUGCAACCUGAUAUGGAAUGUUUGUACCGCUUGUACAGGAUAGGUAGGAGCCGAAGAGACGUGUGCGCUAGCAUACGAGGAGGCAAUGGUGGGAUACUACCCUGGCUGUAUGACCAUUCUAACCCGCCACGCUUAGCGCGUGGGGAGACAGUGUCAGGUGGGCAGUUUGACUGGGGCGGUCGCCUCCUAAAGAGUAACGGAGGCGCCCAAAGGUUCCCUCAGAAUGGAUGGAAAUCAUUCGCAGAGUGUAAAGGCACAAGGGAGCUUGACUGCGAGACUGACAAGUCGAGCAGGGACGAAAGUCGGGCUUAGUGAUCCGGUGGUUCCGCAUGGAAGGGCCAUCGCUCAACGGAUAAAAGCUACCCCGGGGAUAACAGGCUUAUCUCCCCCAAGAGUCCACAUCGACGGGGAGGUUUGGCACCUCGAUGUCGGCUCGUCGCAUCCUGGGGCUGUAGUCGGUCCCAAGGGUUGGGCUGUUCGCCCAUUAAAGCGGCACGCGAGCUGGGUUCAGAACGUCGUGAGACAGUUCGGUCCCUAUCCGUCGCGGGCGCAGGAAAUUUGAGAGGAGCUGUCCUUAGUACGAGAGGACCGGGAUGGACACACCGCUGGUGUACCAGUUGUUCCGCCAGGAGCAUCGCUGGGUAGCUAUGUGUGGCAGGGAUAAACGCUGAAAGCAUCUAAGCGUGAAGCCCCCCUCAAGAUGAGAUUUCCCAUUUCUUCGGAAAGUAAGAUCCCUGAAAGAUGAUCAGGUAGAUAGGUUUGGAGUGGAAGUGUAGCGAUACAUGGAGCGGACAAAUACUAAUCGAUCGAGGACUUAACCAAAAA
rnacentral:rRNA from 1 species